rnacentral:rRNA from 1 species
ACGAACGCUGGCGGCGUGCUUAACACAUGCCAGUCGAACGGAAAGGCCUUUUCGGAGGUACUCGAGUGGCGAACGGGUGAGUAACACGUGGGUGAUCUGCCCUGCACUCUGGGAUAAGCCUGGGAAACUGGGUCUAAUACCGGAUAGGACCGCACUUUAGUGUGUGUGGUGGAAAGUUUUUUCGGUGUAGGAUGAGCCCGCGGCCUAUCAGCUUGUUGGUGGGGUAAUGGCCUACCAAGGCGGCGACGGGUAGCCGGACUGAGAGGUUGGUCGGCCACAUUGGGACUGAGAUACGGCCCAGACUCCUACGGGAGGCAGCAGUGGGGAAUAUUGCACAAUGGGCGCAAGCCUGAUGCAGCGACGCCACGUGGGGGAUGACGGCCUUCGGGUUGUAAACUCCUUUCGCCAGGGACGAAGCGUUUUGUGACGGUACCUGGAGAAGAAGCACCGGCUAACUACGUG